AUGGGGAACUGCCUGCGGUCCGGCGGCAAGCCCCCAAGUCCACCGGCCACCAGGGAGAGCGGCGGCGGCGGCGGGAGGGAGGAGGAGUCGUUGGCGUCGUACCGCGGGUGGCCGAGCGCGGGCUCGGGCGGGCGUGUCCUGGACGCGCCGAGGCUGCGGGUGUUCACGCUGGCGGAGCUGCGGGCGGUGACGCGCGGGUUCAAGCCGGAGAUGGUGCUCGGGGAGGGCGGCUUCGGGCGGGUCUACAAGGGCUGGGUCGACGACCGCACCCUCCACCCGGCCAAGAGCUCCGCCGGCGUCGUCGUCGCCGUCAAGAGGCUCAACGCCGAGAGCGUCCAGGGCCUGCAGGAGUGGCAGUCGGAGGUGAACUUCCUGGGGCGGCUGCAGCACCCGAACCUGGUGAGGCUGCUGGGCUACUGCGGCGACGGCGAGGACCGCGACCUCCUCCUCGUCUACGAGUUCAUGCCCAAGGGCAGCCUCGAGAACCACCUCUUCCGAAGUACGCAAUCCACUCCACCAUGCAUGCAUCCAUCGCCAUUCAUCGAUCCAUCCACACGCUGCACUUUGCUCUUCGCUGACCUCUCCUCGACCCAUGCAUGGCGCAGGGGGCGGCUCGUUCGAGCCGCUGUCGUGGGCGACGAGGCUGAAGAUCGCCGCGGGCGCGGCGCGGGGGCUGGCGUUCCUGCACUCGCCGGAGACGCAGAUCAUCUACCGGGACUUCAAGGCGUCCAACAUCCUCCUCGACCACGACUUCGCCCCCAAGCUGUCCGACUUCGGGCUGGCCAAGAGCGGGCCGGCGGCGGGGCGGUCGCACGUCACCACGCGGGUCAUGGGCAGCUACGGCUACGCGGCGCCCGAGUACGUCGCCACGGGCCACCUCUACGUCAAGAGCGACGUCUACGGCUUCGGCGUGGUGCUGCUGGAGCUGCUCACGGGGCUCCGCGCGCACGACCCCAACCGGCCCACCCACCAGGCCAACCUCGUCGAGUGGGCGCGCCCCUACAUCGCCGGCGGCAGGAAGCUCACCGGGCUCAUGGAUCAGAGGCUUGCCGGCCAGUACCCGCCCAAGGCGGCGCUCCGGGCCGCCAGGCUCGCGCACCGCUGCCUCUGCGGCGACCCCAAGGCCCGGCCCUCCAUGGACGACGUCGUCGCCAAGCUCGAGGAGAUCGACGCCAGAGGGAGCCGCGGACUCGCUCCCGCCGAGGCCGCGGCCCGUCCCGGCGGCAGCACAAAGGUCGCCGUACCGCGGUUCCUCCAACUCCAAGCCGGCCUGACGACGAACUGAUAAUUCCAUCAGUUAACGAACGGUCUUUCAUUAGUUUCUGA
rnacentral:rRNA from 1 species